GGGUGCGCCUCGGGCCGCUGGGCUCGUCGCCGCCGCCGCGGCCUCUGCGGUCGCGUCAGAACUGAAGAGAGGAAGGGGAGGAGCCGAGUGGAGCCCGAGCGGCCGCCCGAUCUCACCCCGACCCGAGGGCGGCGGAGCGGGCUUUUGCUCUUUAGUGGUUUCCUUCAGGGCAGGUGGUGACUGCUCCUUUGGGAGCCAGGAGGAGGGAGGCCCGGGCCGCGCGGCCACGCUCGGGUGCGCACCCCCUGAAGAGAGAAGAGAGGGAGAAGCAUCGAUUGGUCGCCUCCCAUACACGCCCUGACCCUGACCCUGGAUCCAACACCAUCCAUGAACCCACCACCUAGGUAGGUGCCCUGACCAGAAUAGAACCUGCCACCUUCCGGUGUACUGGACAGUGCUCCAACCAACUGAGCCACAUCAGCCAGGGCAGUUCUGUGGGUUUUGAAUAAAAAGAGUGCAACCUAGUAAAGUAUACCUCAAGGAAAGUGUGUACCAGAUGGACUUUUUCAGCAGCCUGAUCUUAGAACCUUAGUGCUGAAGACAGAAUGGCACCCCGGAGAGCCCUCCGCCACCCACCACCUACAACCUACAUAAAAAGAACCGGCUACACUAAACCUCACCACCCAGCGGGAUAACCAGAGGAAACAGCUGGAACUGGUGACUGGAAAAGAGGAAGUUCAUACAUAUCCAACUUGGUCUGCAACUUUUUAGUUCUUUUAUUUUUUAUUAAUUAAUCCAGAGGAGAACACAGCUAGUUUUCAAAAUUCAAAAAACUUUGGAGUUUUAGGUAACAGUUGUUUUCCUGGUUCAUCAAUUUGUUUCUGAUAGAGAUCUGCUUUCUAUGUUGAAAUAUGACAAAGGGAUAUUUUUCUCUUACACUUGAAAGCUCUUAUGGGGAAUUAAUCAGUGUUUUAUUAGCCUACAUGAUUGGUUUUUACUAUUAAAGAUUUCUUAAUUAUCUGGCAAAUUUUCUUUUUACAAAUGCCAUUUAUAGCAUUCAAUUACUUUUAAAAUUUUUAUUGUGAAAUAUACAUUAAAAUGCAUAAAGCAGUUACUCAGUAUAAUGAGUAAUUAUAAAAUAAACCUUCCUGUGACCAACCAGAUCAAGAAAUGGAACAUUGCCAGCACCCCAGAAUCCCCCCUGUUGACCUUCCUGAACACAACUCAUCCCCUCUUUUUCAGAGGUAACCUUUUUUCUAUCUUCUGUGAUAAGUAUUUCCUUGCUUUUCUCUAUUGUUUUAUCACAAACAUGCAUCCCUAAACAGUAUAUCAUUUGGUUUUGUCCUUUCUUUUGAACUUCAUUAAAUGGAAAAACCUAAUAUGUAAUCUAUUAUACUGGUACUUACCACUUUAGCUCAACAUUGUUUUUAAUCCAUAUGUUGUUCAGGUUGUUCAUAUAGCUUUAAUUUGUUCAUUUUAAUUGCUGAAUAUUACGUGCCAUGAUUUACUUAGCCAUUCUAUUGUUGAUGGAUAUCUGGGUUGUUUCUAGUUUGGAACUGUUAUAAAUGCUGCUGUGAACAUUCUUCAUAUGUAUUCUAUCAUGUCUAUAUCAGUUUCUGUAUAGUAUAUACCUGGAAGUGGAUAUGCAUAUCAUAAACUUGAAUAAAUAACACCAAGCUGUUUCUGAUCUA